rnacentral:rRNA from 1 species
AUUCUUCCUUCGGGAAGUUAGUACACUGGCGCACGGGUGAGUAACGCGUAGGUUAUCUGCCCCAAUCUCUGACAUAACAUCGAGAAAUCGGUGCUAAUAUCAGAUGAGGUGCUUCGGCAUCAAAGGUUUCGGCUGGAUUGGGAUGAGCCUGCGUCUGAUUAGCUUGUUGGUAAGGUAACAGCUUACCAAGGCAACGAUCAGUAGCUGGUCUGAGAGGACGAUCAUCCACACUGGAACUGAGACACGGUCCAGACUCCUACGGGAGGCAGCAGUGAGGAAUAUUGGUCAAUGGGGGAAACCCUGAACCAGCGACGCCGCGUGAAGGAUGAAGGGGCUUUGCCCUGUAAACUUCUAUCGGAUGGGAAGAAAUGCCCCUUAUGGGGGCUGGGACUGUACCAUCAAUGGAAGGAUCGGUUAACUACGUGCCAGCAGCCGCGGUAAUACGUAGGAUCCAAGCGUUGUCCGGAUUUACUGGGUGUAAAGGGUGCGUAGGCGGAUAUUUGCGUCAGAGGUUAAAUGUCACAGCUUAUCUGUGAACCUGCCUUUGAUACGGCAUAUGUGGAGUGUGAGAGAGGAUGGUAGAAUUCCUGGUGUAGCGGUGAAAUGCGUAGAUAUCAGGAGGAAUACCAGUGGCGAAGGUGGCCAUCUGGCUUACAACUGAUGUUGAGGCAUGAAAGCGUGGGGAGCAAACAGGAUUAGAUACCUUGGUAGUCCACGCCCUAAACGAUGUAUGCUUGGUGUUGGGGGUUUUGCCCUCAGUGCCGGAGGAAACUCAUUAAGCAUACCACCUGGGGAGUACG